ensembl:lncRNA
CACACACGGGGACACACGCUGGGACAUGGGGACACACACGGAGGGGGGAUACACAUGGGGACACACACAAGGAUAUGGGGACACAGGGACAGGGGGGACACACAGAGAGAUGGGGACACAGAGACACAGGGACACGAGGAUAUGGGGACACACAUGGACAGGGGGACACGGGGACAGAGGGACAUGGGGACACACGUGGGGACACAGGGACAUGGGGACACGGUGACGCAGUGAUAGUAGGACACAUAGAGGGACAGGAGACACAGGGACACGGGGACAGGGGACACACACAGGGACACAUCUGGGGACACAGGGACACACAGAGGGAUGGGGGACACAGGGACACGGGGACACAGAGACACACAGAGGGACAGGGGACAGACACAGUGACAGUGGGACACACAGAGGGACGGGGGACACAGGGACACGGGGACAGGGGACACACACAGGGACACAUUUGGGGACACAGGGACACACAGACGGAUGGGGGACACGGGGACACAGGGACAUACAGAGGGAGAGGGGACACACUUGGGGACACAGGGACGGGGACAGAGGGACAGAGGACACGGGGACACACACAGGGACAGGCUUGGGGACACACAGAGGGAUGGGGGACACGGGGACACAGGGACACACACAGGGACACAGGGACACAGGGACAUGGGGACACACUUGGGGACACAGGGAGGGGACAGAGGGACAGAGGACACGGGGACACACGCACGGGGACUCAGGGACAUGGGGACACACUUGGGGACACAGGGACAGAGGGACACGGUGACGCAGUGACAAGGGGACACACACAGGGACGCAUUUGGGGACACAGGAACACACAGAGGGAUGGGGGACUCGGUGACAGGGGGACACAGAGGGACAGGGGACACAGGGACAGAGGGACACGGUGACNCUGGGGACACCCCAUGGCUUCAGGACAUCCCCAUGGCUUGGGGACACCCACGACUUGGGGACAUCUCACAGCUUGGGGACACCCCCACACUUGGGGACACCCCAUGGCUUGGGGACCCAAGCAAGGACAAUGUCACCUGCACAGCUGGGGACCCUACAAGGACAAUGUCACCUGCACCGCAAGGACGAUGUCACCUGCACCAGCGGUGUCACCUGCACCAGCGGUGUCACCUGCACGGCCAAUGUCACCUGCAUGGCCAGGGAUGUCCCCAGUGCUGGGGACCCCACACUGCCAAUGUCACCUGCAUGGCCAAUGUCACCCGCGUUGGGGACAUCCCCCACGCCCCCGGCUGGGGACACGCACGGCGCCCACCCCCACACACAGAACUGUCACCGGGCUGGGGACAUUGUCCCAAAAACUGUCACCGGGCUGGGGACACAAUCACAGAACUGUCACUACAUUGGGGACACUGUCCCAGGAACUGUCACCGGGCUGGGGACAUUGUCCCACAAACUGUCACCAGGCUCAGGACACAGUCACAGAACUGUCACUACGCUGGGGACACUGUCCCAGCAACUGUCACCGGGCUGGGGACACUGUCCCAGAACUGUCACCGAGUUGGGGACACUGUCACUGAACUGUCACUGCCUUGGGGACACUGUCCCAGAACUGUCACCGCGCUGCACCAGGACGUGUCCCCAAGGCACAGCUGCCACCACCGGCUUGGGGACACCAAACUGGGAACUCCGGACUGGGAACAACCAGGAAUUGUCACCAGCAGACCAGGAACUGUCACCACGAGACUGGGAAUUGUCACCAGUGGGAAUUGUCACCACCAGUGGGAACUGUCACCAGCAGACCUGGAAUUGUCACCACAGGACUGGGAACUGGUGGCACAUGGGUGACACCAAGCUGGCACCGCCACGGACACUGCAGGGGACACAGGACACUACAGGGACACCGUG